GUGGCCCACCCUCAAGGAAUUGCCACAGUUUUACCAAGGGUUUCUCUCUGACCUUUGGAAAACUCCCAGGCUCGACUAAUCCUGUUGACCCUUGGGAGGACACUCCUACAGCCUUCCGCUCGAAGGAUUGACACUCAGGCAGUAGUUCUUCAAAAAACAAAAUAAUCUUUAUUCAGUAUACCAAUAUUCCCUGACACAAUAAAUAUUAAAAACAUACAUCAAGAAACAAAGCACAAAUCCCAUUAGCACAGCUGGCAGUAGUCAUCUCUGAAGCUGCCACCAGAACCAAUCAGACGGCAGAGCUCAGAAACAAAGGAGUUGGUUUACAUUCAGUGGUUGGUUGUUGAUGGAGUGGAGUGGAGGGAGGUGCCCAUUGAGCUUCCCACUGAGACACAAAGGGAGAUGUGGUCAGGCUACUGAGAGCCACCUGAAUUGUCCCUUGGACUGCAGAGCAGGGAGACUGAAGAUCUGGCUAAGUUACAAGAACUCCUGAGUUCCUGUUAACACAAAAGAAACAAAUGGUUGAGUGAGUAUAAAAGAAGAUCUGGAAGGCAAAUUUGGUGCGAACAGUUAAGAACAUUUUGGCAGAAGAAAAUCAACGUAAAGCGAAGACCAAAAGGAACAAUUAGAAUAUCAAUGGAAAAUAGAGAACAAGGUGAUGCUUAAAGACUGGGUAAAAGAGGUUAAUCUAUGAGUUUAUGGAAGCAAGAAGUAUGCUGUGAAGUUUGCUUUGUUUUGUUACUUGUGGGCUUGUUUGCUGUGCAACUAGGACCCUAUCCAAAGAAUAAACCAGAAGAUUAAGUUAAAAUUUGGUUAACACAAUAAGCACCCUUAUUCGGGGCACAAACAUAAGAAUGGCUAUACUAGGUCAAACCAAAGGUCCAUCUAGCCCAGUGUCCUGUCUUUCAACAGUGGCC